rnacentral:rRNA from 1 species
GGGUUGUGAGGUUAAGCGACUAAGCGUACACGGUGGAUGCCCUGGCAGUCAGAGGCGAUGAAGGACGUGCUAAUCUGCGAUAAGCGCCGGUAAGGUGAUAUGAACCGUUAUAACCGGCGAUUUCCGAAUGGGGAAACCCAGUGUGACUCGUCACACUAUCAUUAACUGAAUCCAUAGGUUAAUGAAGCGAACCGGGGGAACUGAAACAUCUAAGUACCCCGAGGAAAAGAAAUCAACCGAGAUUCCCCCAGUAGCGGCGAGCGAACGGGGAGGAGCCCAGAGCCUGAAUCAGCAUGUGUGUUAGUGGAAGCGUCUGGAAAGGCGCGCGAUACAGGGUGACAGCCCCGUACACAAAAGCGCAUGUGCUGUGAGCUCGA